AAUGAACGCUAGCGGCAGGCUUAAUACAUGCAAGUCGAGGGACAGCACAGGUAGCAAUACUGGGUGGUAACCGGCAAACGGGUGCGGAACACGUACACAACCUUCCUUUAAGUGGGGGAUAGCCCAGAGAAAUUUGGAUUAAUACCCCGUAAUAUAGUUGAAUGGCAUCAUUUGAUUAUUAUAGCUACGGCGCUUAAUGAUGGGUGUGCGGCUGAUUAGAUAGUUGGCGGGAUAACGGCCCACCAAGUCUACGAUCAGUAGCUGAUGUGAGAGCACGAUCAGCCACACGGGCACUGAGACACGGGCCCGACUCCGACGGGAGGCAGCAGUAAGGAAUAUUGGUCAAUGGACGCAAGUCUGAACCAGCAUGCCGCGUGAAGGAUUAAGGUCCUCUGGAUUGUAAACUUCUUUUAUUUGGGACGAAAAAGGGCCUUUCUAGGUCAACUGACGGUACCAGAUGAAUAAGCACCGGCUAACUCCGUGCCAGCCGCCGCAGUAAGAC
rnacentral:rRNA from 1 species